AGAGUGGAUACAGAAUCAGAUUCCUUUGAAAACUCACGAUUAUUUUAUUUUAUUUUAUCUAAAAAAAGGGAGUGAAAAUGACUGCAACUGUACUGGAAAGGGACCAAGCUGGGAGGGUAUACUAAAAGGAAGAAGAGCUCAAUGAAAAUAGGAAUUCGCGUCUUCAAUCUUCUAAUUAAAUUCAACAAGCUGUCCACGAGCUUCAUCGAUUUUUGAACAAACCCCAUCUGCCUUUGCAAAUUUCCCCUCGUUUUCCCCUUUCUUUACUGUCCUCUUCGUCAAAAGGACUCUGGUUCUCUGCAUUUCCAGUCGCCCACACGCUCCAUCGCCCCCUUUGGGACCUCUGGAAAUGGCUGCCAUGCUUCUGCUGCUCUCUGGUUUCUCCAUUUUCACUCUCUGAUGGCUGUUUUUGGGGCUACGAAAAGAAUUUACAGGCGGAGACUAAGAGCCAAUUGAUUCCUGGCUUCACUAUCAACCAUGAAAGGAGGAUCAGAGAAUGGAUGGCAUUACUUUAAGUCUCUUCAUUUUAGAGGUAAACCAGCCAACAAUUUGUGCUUACUUCAGACCUCUGCCAGUACUCCGGGCGAAACUCCGGUCUAUCUCAACGUGUAUGACUUAACACCUGCAAAUGGCUACAUCUACUGGGCUGGUCUCGGCAUCUUUCACUCCGGCAUAGAAGUUUACGGGGUUGAAUAUGCGUUUGGAGCCCACGACUAUCCUACGAGUGGUAUCUUUGAGGUCGAACCUCGGACAUGCCCUGGAUUCAAGUUUAGGAAGUCGAUUUAUAUCGGUACGACCUGCUUGGACCCAAUCCAAGUAAGAGACUUUAUGGAGUGUGAAGCUGCAAACUAUCAUGGCGAUUCGUAUCACUUGAUCGUGAAGAAUUGCAACCAUUUCUGUGAGGAUAUAUGCAGAAAGCUAACUGGGAAACGCAUACCGAAAUGGAUAAAUCGGCUUGCGAGAUUAGGUUCCAAAUGCAACUGCAUACUCCCGAAAGCUCUCAAGGCCACAACCGUGCAACACGACCCGGGAUUUGAGGGACAGGACAGCGAAAAGAAAAGACUAAGAAGCGGUUUCGGUUGCUUAUCCUCAAUCUCUAUGAAUCAGAAGGAAGUUUCAAUAUCUUCACUGUUUCUACACUCUCACUAUAAAGGCUGCCUACCUCCAUGGGAACUGAAACGAUCCAAAAGUUGGUCGUUCAAGUAAGGGGAAGAUGACUUACCUCAAUCCGAACUUUCUUACGAGGUUUGUUCUUCGAGUUCUCGAGAUAAUAGCCAUGGGAGCUGACUGGUCUGAGGUUUGAGGAUUGAUAGCAGAGGCUUUGAUUUAUCUCUUUCUUUUUCUCUUCUGUUUCUUAGUCUCUUAGAGGCUUUGUUCUAAUCAUUGACUGUUUCUUUUAGUAGAGCUUAGGAAUCUUUCAAUGUAUAUUAGCUUUUUUCUUGGAACGGCUAACGUAUUAUGUUACAAGUCUAU